AGUGAACGCUGGCGGUAGGCCUAACACAUGCAAGUCGAACGGCAGCACAGUAAGAGCUUGCUCUUACGGGUGGCGAGUGGCGGACGGGUGCGGAAUACAUCGGAAUCUACUUUUUCGUGGGGGAUAACGUAGGGAAACUUACGCUAAUACCGCAUACGACCUACGGGUGAAAGCAGGGGAUCUUCGGACCUUGCGCGAUUCAAUGAGCCGAUGUCGGAUUAGCUAGUUGGCGGGGUAAAGGCCCACCAAGGCGACGAUCCGUAGCUGGUCUGAGAGGAUGAUCAGCCACACUGGAACUGAGACACGGUCCAGACUCCUACGGGAGGCAGCAGUGGGGAAUAUUGGACAAUGGGCGCAAGCCUGAUCCAGCCAUGCUGCGUGGGUGAAGAAGGCCUUCGGGUUGUAAAGCCCUUUUGUUGGGAAAGAAAAGCAGCAGGUUAAUACCCCGCUGUUCUGACGGUACCCAAAGAAUAAGCACCGGCUAACUUCGUG
rnacentral:rRNA from 1 species